CUGCGGAGGGAUCAUUACAGAGUUCUCGCCCCACCGGGUAGAUCUCCCACCCACUGUUAUCGUUACCGUCGUUGCUUUGGCGGGCCGCUAGGCUCGCCAGAGGCCCUACAAACUCUGAAUGUCAGUGUCGUCUGAGUACUAUACAAUAGUUAAAACUUUCAACAACGGAUCUCUUGGUUCUGGCAUCGAUGAAGAACGCAGCGAAAUGCGAUAAGUAAUGCGAAUUGCAGAAUUCAGUGAGUCAUCGAAUCUUUGAACGCACAUUGCGCCCUGUGGUAUUCCGCAGGGCAUGCCUGUUCGAGCGUCAUUUCAACCCUCAAGCUCUGCUUGGUGUUGGGCCACGCCCCCGCGGCCGGCCCCAAAGCCAGUGGCGGCGCCGUCCGGCUCUAAGCGUAGUACACCUCUCGCUCUAGGGCCCCGCGGUUGCCUGCCAGAACCCUAUACUCUUAUGGUUGACCUCGGAUCAGGUAGGGAUACCCGCUGAACUUAAGCAUAUCAAUAAGCGGAGGAAAAGAAACCAACAGGGAUUGCCUCAGUAACGGCGAGUGAAGCGGCAACAGCUCAAAUUUGAAAUCUGGCCCUCUCAGGGUCCGAGUUGUAAUUUGGAGAAGAUGCUUCGGGUGUGGCCCCGGUCUAAGUUCCUUGGAACAGGACGUCACAGAGGGUGAGAAUCCCGUACGUGACCGGUGGCCUCCCCCGUGUGAAGCUCUUUCGACGAGUCGAGUUGUUUGGGAAUGCAGCUCAAAAUGGGUGGUAAAUUUCAUCUAAAGCUAAAUA
rnacentral:rRNA from 1 species